rnacentral:misc_RNA from 1 species
CAUGAGUUGUCUUGGACCCGUGACUGCCGGUAGGACCCCCGGCCCGUUGUGCGGCCGACUGCCGGCGCCUGUGUCCCAUCAAUGUUGCGGCUGUAACCGUACCGCUCUCUCGACAAGUGCUUGCAUGCUGGUACCCGACCCACGGGAAGUGGUGAUUCGUACACGGUUGCCUCACGGCGGGCGCCCCUAGGGCGUGCCGCUGUGGCCUAGUAGCGCUUGCGGCGUUGCCUCGUUGCUCCGGCAUCCUACGUGCCCGGUGCUUCCAAGGCCACCUCGCUCGCGCUCUUGGUCUCGGAUGUCGCACACGAUAAAGGCUCGUUGCCCUCCGCGGUCACGUCCCUACCGAAAGCUCACCCGAUGCACGACAGUCGGCCCGGUUCCCGCCGCUGCCAUGCCACACGCUGGCUGGCGCGUGCGAGUCCCGGCGUCGGCUCGUCGACGAGGACGUGCU